CUACUUGCCUGGCAGGGAGACAUCACCUUAAAGAAAGCAGAUUUCCCAGGGUGAGGCACAUUCAUUGAAUUCCAGGUGUGCUGGUCCCAGAAAUUUCCCCAAGUAAGAAACUGCAGAAUUUAUCCUAAGAAGAACUGUCUUUGUAGUUUUUCCUCU